rnacentral:rRNA from 1 species
CUACGGGUUGCUCCAGUGGGGAAUAUUGGACAAUGGGGGAAACCCUGAUCCAGCAAUGCCGCGUGUGUGAAGAAGGCCUGCGGGUUGUAAAGCACUUUCGGUUGGGAGGACUGCUUCUAGCACUAAUAUUGUUGGAAGUUGACGUUACUUUCAGAAGAAGCACCGGCUAACUCCGUGCCAGCAGCCGCGGUAAUACGGAGGGUGGCAAGCGUUAAUCGGAAUUACUGGGCGUAAAGCGCGCGUAGGCGGCUAGAUCAGUCGGGUGUGAAAGCCCCGGGCUUAACCUGGGAACUGCAUCCGAUACUGUCUAGCUUGAGUACAGGAGAGGAGAGUGGAAUUCCACAUGUAGCGGUGAAAUGCGUAGAUAUGUGGAGGAACACCAAUGGCGAAGGCAGCUCUCUGGCCUGAUACUGACGCUGAGGUGCGAAAGCGUGGGGAGCAAACAGGAUUAGAUACCCGUGUAGUC